GUAUUUACUUGUGUUUUCCUACAAUUAUCUGAACAGUAAAUGGACAGAAAUAAAAAUAGGACAGACUGACAUCAUCAUGAAGAAUUGGCCCACAUUUGAGAACUGCAUUAAUUGUGUCAUUAAAGAAAAGCAUUGAUGGAAGACACCCUGAAAGAAUAAUAAAAGACAAGGAUUUAACUAAGUAAUGAAUGGCAAGAAAACAUUUAAAAGAAACAAAAGCAGUGUGGUUUCAAGUGUAUCAAGUUUGGAAUGGCACAGACGUUAGGGAAAUUCAUUAUCUGAAUUUCUCUGGGCUUCAAACUGGGUAAGUGUAGAUAAUUCACAUUUCACAACAAAAUAAGGUACUUAAAGUAUAAAAUAAAUAUCUAUGAGUGCAAACUGACCUUAAAAAGUUAUUGAAUAAAUGAAUGGGGAGAAUAGACAAAUCUUCUUUGAAGAAGAAUUCCAAAUAACUUAUGUAGAUAGUACCUUCUUGUUUUAGUCAGGGUUCUUCAGAGAAGCAAACCAACAAAAUGUGUGUGUGUGUGUGUGUACAUAUACACACACACAAGCAUAU
rnacentral:lncRNA from 1 species